UACGUAGGGGGCGAGCGUUGUCCGGAUUUAUUGGGCGUAAAGAGCUCGUAGGCGGCUUGGCAAGUCGGGUGUGAAACCUCCAGCUCAACCUGGAGACGCCACUCGAUACUGCCAUGGCUAGAGUCCGGUAGGGGACCACGGAAUUCCUGGGUGUAGCGGUGAAAUGCGCAGAUAUCAGGAGGAACACCGGUGGCGAAGGCGGUGGUCUGGGCCGGCACUGACGCUGGAGGAGCGAAAGCGUGGGUAGCAAACAGG
rnacentral:rRNA from 1 species